rnacentral:rRNA from 1 species
CUGUUCGCCGAUUAAAGAGAUACGUGAGUUGGGUUCAAACCGUCGUGAGACAGGUUGGUCCCUAUCUGUCAUGCCCGUAGGAAGAUUGAGAAGUUUUGUUCUUAGUACGAGAGGACCGGAAUGAGAACACCUCUUGUGAUCCUGUUGUAGCGCCAGCUGCACUGCAGGGUAGCAACGUGUUUAAUGGAUAAACGCUGAAAGCAUCUAAGCGUGAAACCAGCUUCAAGAUUAAUCUUCCCUCCCUUAAGUGGGGUAAGAAUCGUUAUAGACUAUGACGUUGAUAGGUCAGAUGUGUAAGCUUCGUGAGGAGUUUAGCUAACUGAUACUAAUAAUUCGAGGACUUAGAUAA